rnacentral:rRNA from 1 species
UACGUACGAGGCGAGCGUUAUCCGGAAUUACUGGGCGUAAAGCGCGUGUAGGCUGCUUCGCAAGUCGGAUGUGAAAGCCCUGGGCUCAACCCAGGAAGUGCAUUCGAAACUGCAGAGCUGGAGUCCUGGAGAGGAAGGCGGAAUUCUCGGUGUAGAGGUGAAAUUCGUAGAUAUCGAGAGGAACACCGGUGGCGAAGGCGGCCUUCUGGACAGUGACUGACGCUGAGACGCGAAAGCGUGGGGAGCAAACAGG